UACGAAGGGGGCGAGCGUUGUUCGGAUUUACUGGGCGUAAAGGGCGCGCAGGCGGCGCAUUUUGUCAGGCGUGAAAGCCCCGGGCUUAACCUGGGAACUGCGUUUGAUACGAAUGGGCUAGAGUUCGGGAGAGGAGAGUGGAAUUCCCAGUGUAGAGGUGAAAUUCGUAGAUAUCUGGAGGAACACCGGUGGCGAAGGCGGCAUCCUGGACCGGCAUUGACGCUGAGGCGCGAAAGCCAGGGGAGCAAAGCGG
rnacentral:rRNA from 1 species